rnacentral:rRNA from 1 species
UACGUAGGGGGCAAGCGUUGUCCGGAUUUAUUGGGCGUAAAGAGCGUGUAGGCGGCCAUGCAGGUCCGUUGUGAAAACUCGAGGCUCAACCUCGGGACGUCGAUGGAAACCUCAUGGCUAGAGUCCGGAAGAGGAGAGCGGAAUUCCUGGUGUAGCGGUGAAAUGCGCAGAUAUCAGGAAGAACACCCGUGGCGAAGGCGGCUCUCUGGGACGGUACUGACGCUGAGACGCGAAAGCGUGGGGAGCGAACAGG